rnacentral:lncRNA from 1 species
CUGUGUAUUGCUACCUAAACUAUCAGUGAACAAUAAUACAAUGACGGGAUGAAUAAGUACAGCACCACGUCAAAUGGAUAUCAGCAAAAACAGACUUAACAGUAAAUUCAGUAUUCAUAAAGACAAAUAAUAGAAUACUAUAUAACGUUAUAAAGACGAUAAACAAAGUCAGUGCCCAGAAUCUAUACUUCAAGACCAUCAUGUUUUAUUUCUGAUGUUAAAACGAAGUAUUCAUCAACAAGGAUUUUCUACCUUCCGAUGAACUUUGUUUUAAAAAAGGACGAGACGUUCUUUGACGUACACCUGGUUCAUCAAAUUUUUGCUCGGACAUUGAUGACGUUUUCACAAAGUUUGAAUAGGAGCUACAAGCUCUUGAAUACCGAAUAAGCGGGG